rnacentral:rRNA from 1 species
ACGAACGCUGGCGGCGUGCUUAACACAUGCAAGUCGAACGGUGAAGCGCCUUCCUUUUUGGUGGGUGUGGAUGAGUGGCGAACGGGUGAGUAACACGUGAGUAACCUGCCCCCUUCUUCUGGAUAACCGCAUGAAAGUGUGGCUAAUACGGGAUAUUCUGGGUCUGUCGCAUGAUGGGUCUGGGAAAGAUAUUGUUUCGGUGGGGGAUGGGCUCGCGGCCUAUCAGCUUGUUGGUGGGGUGAUGGCCUACCAAGGCGGUGACGGGUAGCCGGCCUGAGAGGGUGGACGGUCACACUGGGACUGAGACACGGCCCAGAAUCCUACGGGAGGCAGCAGUGGGGAAUAUGGCACAAUGGGCGCAAGCCUGAUGCAGCGACGCCGCGUGAGGGAUGGAGGCCUUCGGGUUGUGAACCUCUUUCGCCAGUGAAGCAGGCCUGCCUCGUUUGUGGGUGGGUUGACGGUAGCUGGAUAAGAAGCGCCGGCUAACUACGUG